AUGGCUCCGGGCUCGCUCCCUGACCCGGGCCCGCCGGGGCCGCGUCCCACUGAGGGCUCCUUGAAGUACCCGCACCCUCACGGACUCGGUUUCCACCGCUUCCAGGCACCCGGAGCCGGGGCUAGAAUUGCACUUCCGGAUGAAACACCUGUCGCCUAAAAUUAAAGUCCAAAAUACCCCCGCGCUCCCACAGUAACUCCUUGAAAAGUGGGACUCAGAUUCUGGAACGUGCGGACUGCUUAAUGCGAACUUGGCAGAGUUUCACCCAUCUGGGCAGCGCUAGAGAGAAGGGAGGCCUGAGGCAGAGCCUGGGCCACGCCCAGACGUUCUGGAGUCUGGGAAGUCCGAGAUCCAGGUGCUGGCCAGAAAGGUUUCGUUCUGGGGCCUCUUCUCUUCGCAUGGACCAGGUAUGUGGCCACCAUUUCACUGUGGGCUCAUAUGACCUCUUGGUGAACCAACAGGCAAGACAGCAAGUUCUUCGGUGACUCUUCUUGUAAGAACACCAGUUCCCUCAGGAGGGAUCUACCCCUAAACCUCACUUUACCCUACUUGCAAACACCCUCCCCUGGAGGAUUUAGCACACGCCAGACCUCCAGUCCAGUUUAAGAACCCAUUGUGGCCCUCGAGUCAAAAAGUUUGCCCACCCCUGGCCUAGAGUAAGGGCUGAAGAUACAUAUUAUUGCCUACUGGAAUGGCCAAAAGCAAUUCCCCCAAACCUGAAUUUACAUAAAUGAUUGCUUGCUGCCAGACAGCUGAGGGCAUUUUAAUCUACAUGUUGUUGCCUCCUGCCUGCCAAACAGCUGAAUAGCUGAAGGCAGUCCCCACAAACUGACAAUGCCUACUGUAUACUAAACCUUACCUUUGAUAUGUAUAUCUACUUUGCUAUAGGGCAAAAUGUGAGAAUAAAAAGAGCCCUGGGUCCGGAGAUAAAGAGAAAUUAGCUACUAUAGCUAAACUACCUCUGGCUCCCCCAUGGAUUACAAAUUUAUAUUAUAUUUCUAGUCUAUUAAUUUACACGUAGCACCUUAUCCAGAUUCCUGAACCCUUCCAGAUGCUGGGAAAGACCCCUGGCAUUACUCAUAGACCGGAACUAUGCAGAGAUGGCAAUUUUGGUUACCACCACUCUACCUAAGAUGGAAGGGUCUUUGUAGAAUGUCAGUGGAUUGUUGUAAACUGAAGUCAGUGACUCCAAUGACAGAUGCUGAUCCCAAUGUGAUCCCUAUUGCU